rnacentral:misc_RNA from 1 species
UCUCCGUAGGUGAACCUGCGGAGGGAUCAUUACAGAGUUCAUGCCCUACCGGGUAGAUCUCCCACCCUAUGUUAUUAUUACUUUGUUGCUUUGGCGGGCCGUUGGGCUCCGGCCCGACUACCGGCCCCGGCUGGUAAGCGCCCGCCAGAGGACCCAAAACCCUGAAUAUUAGUGUCGUCUGAGUACUAUAUAAUAGUUAAAACUUUCGACAACGGAUCUCUUGGUUCUG